AAACUUUUAACAUAGAAAGAUAACAUAACUGCUGUAUCUUGAUCAACAUAAUAAUAUUAUUAAAAUUUCACUGGUCACAUUCGUAAGUAGAUACAUGUAACUCAAAUUUGAAAUGCUUCGAACAAAGAGAAGCAUGUUUUAAUGGUGACCAGCCCUUUGCGUCUCGUUGACAUCACUGUGCUCAGACCUUUCUACAUGUUGCUUCGCUUGGAAUUUUUAGAAAAAUGACACAUACUUCCUGAUUUAUUGUUGGUGAAUCCCCAAACAACGCAGUUGACCAUGUUUAUGCUUCCAGUUAGUCAAAUUGACAGGAUGCAGUGCUCAGUUGCAAUAGCCUUCUAUAGGGAAAUUCGCAACGUCUGUUGUCUCUCACGGAAAAAAUUCAAAACCAGGCUGCAGAUAUGCAUAAAUGGCAAUUCAAGGUUUUUUGCCAAUUCGGGUUUUUUUAAAUUUUGCAGGCCCAAAAAUAUUCUAUUAUUAACAUUAUUUUUCAUAUUAAAAGAACUUUUUGCAGUAGUAUUCUCCAUUUAAAUUGGUGCACGAAGCGUGUGCGACAAUUUUUUCGAGCACCAGUUGUAUGAAGCAACUCAAUGAACGAGGCUAAACAUAUCCCAUGUACAGUUCGUCCCAAAUUAUUUGGACCAAACUGUGCAAACACCGAGGGAAAAAACAAUAAGAAAUCGCUAAGAUUUCACAUUAAUUUGCUCAAUUUCCCGCGAUUUUUCCCUCAAUUCCUCCACGAUUUUCUGAUAACAUUCUAUUGGAAACACCAGGUUUCCAAAGGAAAACAUCUUUUUACGCCAUACUUUCCCGCAAGGAAUUCGUAUUUUAUAAUUAGUAAUAGAUCUACAUUAACACAUAUACUGCCUGUUUGGUUAUGCCGAAAUCUUUAUCCGUUUAUAUAACCUUUACUGACCGAGCUUUCGUUUUAACGGGACCAAAACUCUGGUAAAAACUACCACGAAAUCUGAAAGAGUGUCCUUCUUUAGCAAGUAAGAAAACUUAUAAUUCCAAGAACACUUGUAGCGCCUCAACAUUUAUUAGAGACUUUUUAGGGGUUCGUUCCAGCCUAGCACUUCGAUCGAAAGAAGUAACAAACUGGGGUGUAGAUAAAAAUAAACAUCUUUAUUUGGAUCAAUUUAUAAUUGGGAUACAUCGCAUUAAGGGGAGAUAAUUUGGGUGAGACGCCAACCCUUUGGAUAAAUUGCCAGGUAUGGAAACAGGAAUUAGGUAAAUAAAUACAUUUGCCCUGUCAGGCCGGUGGAUAUGACGGGAUUAAAUCGGAGAUUUGGUGACAUAAGGAAUUGGUAAGACUUGGGGGAAUGGGUGAACCACAACUAUCUAGGCCUAUCUUGGAUCAAGCCAGUCACGGUUAAACCAACCUAUGAGUCUUUAAAUAGGAGACCAGUUAUGGAUAAAUUACCACAGCCAAAGCUAGGAUAUUAAUUCCUUACCCAUUUUUGGUGAUCCAUAUCCAAUUUAAAAUAGCUGGAUUGCUGCCAAUUACGUAAGGAGCUUUCCCGAGUGCACCGAGUGUCCACAAGGAUUUCCUUGUCGUCUGCUUCUAUUUAUAAGGGGAUUCCGAUGACGUCAGUUGUCGACCAAUCAAUGCGAGCGUUACUAACAAUGACGACGUUAUAGCCUUGACCGCGCCAAAGUGUCAUGGCCGCCGGCUGUUUGAUGUCGCUUGUUUCGCUAACUGAUUUGUGUCAAUUCAUCGGCCUAACGGGAAUGUUAUAAAUAUAAUUAUGUGAAAAGGACAAGAUGGAUAUCGGGUAUGACAUUGUUAUAUAAAUGUGUUUCGGGCGUGAACAAGGGAGCUGGUCUCAUUUUUUGACACUCUCAGUCGGAAACGACGUGCGAAAGACUGGAAUCGCCUGGACCGCAACAUUGCCCGCUUCCUCGGAGAAGUUCGUACCGAACGCUAAAACGGUUAUCCAACACACACUGACUCUGACGUGAUUGACUUUGCCAAUGUUAUCUUCCAUGUGAUGACUGGAAAUAAGGAAAGAACAACUCACUUCUGCAGUGGUAAACGUGGAUAUUAUUGCCACAAGAUUAAUUUUUAUUUUAAUACAGAUUUCGACACGGAUGACAAUGAUGAUGAUGAGGAUGAUGAUGACGACGAUGACGAUAUUGAUGAUAAAAGUAGAUCUUGGAUUAUGGAAACUGGUGUCUUCGUCUUCUCUGGUGAAAUUGGUGAUUUCUCUGACAACACUGGUGUUUUUUCUGACGAAAUUGGUUUUUUCUGUAAAGGAACCGAUGUCUUGUCUGAUGCAGCUGAUGUCUUCUGUACGGUAUCGGGUUCCACUGAUCCGAGAAUGAGAUCUACUGGAAGACGGAUGUUGCGGCCGAAGACCAUUUCACAUGGAGAAACGCCCAGUGAUUCGUGUUCUGCAGAACGAUACGCUGACAUGAGAAGGGAAGAGGAAGAUAAUGGAUUUUUGUUUAAUUGGUCUAUUGGAGCACUUGUGCAAGCCAAAACAUUAAGGUUUUCAUUGGAGGUUUGCUUGUUGGAGCCUCUGGAAGACUUUUUCUAAAUUGGAUAAGUGCUCGUCAAAGGAUUUUGCAAAGAUAAUGAUAUCAUCCAGGGGGACGCGACGAGGAUGCUGACGAAUUGGUAGGGCACAACCAGUAUUAAUCCAAUGCUCAGCUUCAUUGGUGAUGCCUGUAUCAGAUGAAUCUUUGGAAAAGGAGCUACGUGAUGAUUGCUGCAAUGGUUGUCCCUUAUUUAGGGUAUUUAUCAAGUGUUUGGUAGUUUUAUCCACUGAUGUGAUUGAACCAUUCAAGAUUUUUCCGUUGAUCCAAAACGAAUACUUAGGAGGGUUGUGAGGGUAUGGAAAUCCGUUCUCUGGAUAGUAUUUAAUUCUGACAAGAUUGUCCUGGCGUUUCCAGACAAACUACUGGCUAGUUCCUGAGACAUCACCAUCAACUGAUUCUACCGAGGGCAUAUCCGGAUCAGUGUCUGGGAUAAUUUCGAACUCUGGGGACAAGGAUUUGGUGGCCAUUUUUAUAGAUGUAUUUAGAAUCUAUUACUACUAUUAUUAAUAUUAAUAAAGGAACCUAAUUCAUUUAUUUA